rnacentral:rRNA from 1 species
GACGAACGCUGGCGGCGUGCUUAACACAUGCAAGUCGAACGAAGUGGCGAACGGGUGAGUAACGCGUAAUCAACCUGCCCUUCAGAGGGGGACAACAGUUGGAAACGACUGCUAAUACCGCAUACUGAAGGAGGGGAUUGCGUCUGAUUAGCUAGUUGGGGGGGUAACGGCCCACCAAGGCGAUGAUCAGUAGCCGGUCUGGUAGGAUGAAGGGCCACAUUGGGACUGAGACACGGCCCAGACCCCUACGGGAGGCAGCAGUGGGGAAUCUUGCGCAAGGAGGGCAACCCGGACGCAGCCAUGCCGCUUGAAGGAAGAAGGCCUUCGGGUUGUAAAGUUCGUUCGGUAGGGAGCGUUAACUACAGAAGAAGCACCGGCUAACUCCGUGCCAGCAGCCGCGGUAAUUC